ensembl:rRNA 5S_rRNA 5S ribosomal RNA
GUCUACAGCCAUACCACCCUAAAGUUGCUGGUCUCUGCUGAUCUUGGAAGCUAAGCAGGGCUGGGCUUGGCUAGUACUUGGAUGGGAGGAAACAGGAGACUAAAGAGA